CCUACGGGGCGCAGCAGUGGGGAAUAUUGCACAAUGGGCGCAAGCCUGAUGCAGCUAUGCCGCGUGUAUGAAGAAGGCCUUAGGGUUGUAAAGUACUUUCAGUUGGGAGGAAGGCGUUGAUGCUAAUAUCAUCAACGAUUGACGUUACCAACAGAAGAAGCACCGGCUAACUCUGUGCCAGCAGCCGCGGUAAUACGGAGGGUGCAAGCGUUAAUCGGAAUUACUGGGCGUAAAGCGCACGCAGGCGGUUGGUUAAGUUAGAUGUGAAAUCCCCGGGCUUAACCUGGGAAUGGCAUCUAAGACUGGUCAGCUAGAGUCUUGUAGAGGGGGGUAGAAUUCCAUGUGUAGCGGUGAAAUGCGUAGAGAUGUGGAGGAAUACCGGUGGCGAAGGCGGCUCCCCUGGACAAAGACUGACGCUCAGGUGCGAAAGCGUGGGGAGCAAACAGGAUUAGAUACCCUCGUAGUC
rnacentral:rRNA from 1 species